AGCAUAUCGAGUCUGCGGAGGGGAUGGACGUUGGUUAUGGGGAAACUGGACUAACUAUACCCAGUGCUUAGAUUUACUCCAUUCGGAUGAGGACAUAGCAGUGGGACACUUAAUAGUGAGCUACAUAUUGUUUAUAUGUUCCUUCAUAUCCCUCAUUGCACUUAUCGUUACUCUCAGCAUCUUCUGUUACUUCAAGUCCCUGCUGUGCUCUCGUUUACGCGUCCACCGGAAUCUCGUGGUGUCACUCAUCAUCCAUUCUGUUCUGCUCAUGAUCAUCCCUUCUGCUGUCAUUUUUCGGUCGUCGCUACCCGCCUAUACGGACGUGG